GACGAACGCUGGCGGCGUGCCUAAUACAUGCAAGUAGAACGCUGAAGAGAGGAGCUUGCUCUUCUUGGAUGAGUUGCGAACGGGUGAGUAACGCGUAGGUAACCUGCCUUGUAGCGGGGGAUAACUAUUGGAAACGAUAGCUAAUACCGCAUAACAAUGGAUGACACAUGUCAUUUAUUUGAAAGGGGCAAUUGCUCCACUACAAGAUGGACCUGCGUUGUAUUAGCUAGUAGGUGAGGUAACGGCUCACCUAGGCGACGAUACAUAGCCGACCUGAGAGGGUGAUCGGCCACACUGGGACUGAGACACGGCCCAGACUCCUACGGGAGGCAGCAGUAGGGAAUCUUCGGCAAUGGGGGCAACCCUGACCGAGCAACGCCGCGUGAGUGAAGAAGGUUUUCGGAUCGUAAAGCUCUGUUGUAAGUCAAGAACGAGUGUGAGAGUGGAAAGUUCACACUGUGACGGUAGCUUACCAGAAAGGGACGGCUAACUACGUGCCAGCAGCCGCGGUAAUACGUAGGUCCCGAGCGUUGUCCGGAUUUAUUGGGCGUAAAGCGAGCGCAGGCGGUUUGAUAAGUCUGAAGUUAAAGGCUGUGGCUCAACCAUAGUUCGCUUUGGAAACUGUCAAACUUGAGUGCAGAAGGGGAGAGUGGAAUUCCAUGUGUAGCGGUGAAAUGCGUAGAUAUAUGGAGGAACACCGGUGGCGAAAGCGGCUCUCUGGUCUGUAACUGACGCUGAGGCUCGAAAGCGUGGGGAGCGAACAGGAUUAGAUACCCUGGUAGUCCACGCCGUAAACGAUGAGUGCUAGGUGUUGGAUCCUUUCCGGGAUUCAGUGCCGCAGCUAACGCAUUAAGCACUCCGCCUGGGGAGUACGACCGCAAGGUUGAAACUCAAAGGAAUUGACGGGGACCCGCACAAGCGGUGGAGCAUGUGGUUUAAUUCGAAGCAACGCGAAGAACCUUACCAAAUCUUGACAUCCUUUGACCCUUCUAGAGAUAGAAGUUUCCCCUUCGGGGGACAAAGUGACAGGUGGUGCAUGGUUGUCGUCAGCUCGUGUCGUGAGAUGUUGGGUUAAGUCCCGCAACGAGCGCAACCCUUAAGCUUAGUUGCCAUCAUUAAGUUGGGCACUCUAAGUUGACUGCCGGUGACAAACCGGAGGAAGGUGGGGAUGACGUCAAAUCAUCAUGCCCCUUAUGAUUUGGGCUACACACGUGCUACAAUGGACAAUACAAAGGGCAGCGAAACCGCGAGGUCAAGCAAAUCCCAUAAAGUUGUUCUCAGUUCGGAUUGUAGUCUGCAACUCGACUACAUGAAGCUGGAAUCGCUAGUAAUCGUAGAUCAGCAUGCUACGGUGAAUACGUUCCCGGGUCU
rnacentral:rRNA from 1 species